rnacentral:rRNA from 3 species
GUUGUUGGGUAGGGGAGCGUUCUGUAAGCCGUUGAAGGUGACCUGUGAGGGUUGCUGGAGGUAUCAGAAGUGCGAAUGCUGACAUAAGUAACGAUAAUGCGGGUGAAAAACCCGCACGCCGGAAGACCAAGGGUUCCUGUCCAACGUUAAUCGGGGCAGGGUGAGUCGACCCCUAAGGCGAGGCUGAAAAGCGUAGUCGAUGGGAAACAGGUUAAUAUUCCUGUACUUGGUGUUACUGCGAAGGGGGGACGGAGAAGGCUAGGCUGGCCGGGCGACGGUUGUCCCGGUUUAAGCGUGUAGGGGGAGUGACCAGGUAAAUCCGGUUGCUUAUCAACCCUGAGGCGUGAUGACGAUGCACCACGGUGCAGAAGCAGUUGAUGCCAUGCUUCCAGGAAAAGCCUCUAAGCAUCAGGUAACAUUAAAUCGUACCCCAAACCGACACAGGUGGUCAGGUAGAGAAUACUCAGGCGCUUGAGAGAACUCGGGUGAAGGAACUAGGCAAAAUGGUGCCGUAACUUCGGGAGAAGGCACGCUGGCGUUAGGUGAAAGGACUAGCUCCUGGAGCUGAAGCCAGUCGCAGAUACCAGCUGGCUGCAACUGUUUAAUAAAAACACAGCACUGUGCAAACACGAAAGUGGACGUAUACGGUGUGACGCCUGCCCGGUGCUGGAAGGUUAAUUGAUGGGGUCAGCCGCAAGGCGAAGCUCUUGAUCGAAGCCCCAGUAAACGGCGGCCGUAACUAUAACGGUCCUAAGGUAGCGAAAUUCCUUGUCGGGUAAGUUCCGACCUGCACGAAUGGCGUAAUGAUGGCCAGGCUGUCUCCACCCGAGACUCAGUGAAAUUGAACUCGCUGUGAAGAUGCAGUGUACCCGCGGCAAGACGGAAAGACCCCGUGAACCUUUACUAUAGCUUGACACUGAACAUUGAGCCUUGAUGUGUAGGAUAGGUGGGAGGCCUUGAAGUGUGGACGCCAGUCUGCAUGGAGCCAACCUUGAAAUACCACCCUUUAAUGUUUGAUGUUCUAACUCGGCCCCAUGAUCUGGGGUGAGGACAGUGUCUGGUGGGUAGUUUGACUGGGGCGGUCUCCUCCCAAAGAGUAACGGAGGAGCACGAAGGUUAGCUAAUCACGGUCGGACAUCGUGAGGUUAGUGCAAAGGCAUAAGCUAGCUUGACUGCGAGAGUGACGGCUCGAGCAGGUACGAAAGUAGGUCUUAGUGAUCCGGUGGUUCUGAAUGGAAGGGCCAUCGCUCAACGGAUAAAAGGUACUCCGGGGAUAACAGGCUGAUACCGCCCAAGAGUUCAUAUCGACGGCGG